UGACGGCAUCGGAGCCCUCUGAUUGGACCGUGAGAUGCCAUUAGACCCUCCCCCUCCCUUGUGGAGUGGUGUCCUACUUGAGGUUGCGUCCCUGCAUAACAGCCAGUGGUCCCGAGGACACAGGUGCAUCGUGGGUAGGCAGGCAGCUCCUGAAGUCGGCACACUGGACCAUGGAGUCUCCUUUGUCUGCUACCAGAGUCCUGAGUGACAAAAGAGGGGGGUUACACCACUCCAGUCCCACUCCGUCGUGUCUCCAUGGCAACGCGUCUCACCAUCAGCGACUGGGACACCGUGGCGUCGGCACCUGUCACUCAAACGUGUAGAGAUGAAGAGUGAGACUGAGACGCUUCUACUGACGUCCUCUUCAUCACGUCUCUUCCUGCUCACCUGAUAAGAUGCUCAGCAGAGACUCGUUCUUCACCAGAGCUUUUUGCUUCUGAACGUCCCUGCAGAGAGAAACAGCUGGUCAGCUGAUCAACGAGAGCCGCCGGACGCCAUGCUGAGAACACGCCCCCCCUGCCCCCACCCCACAGAAACAUCUAAUCAGUAAAAAGAGUCACAAAAACAGUCACUGACCAGACGGACAGCGUCGCUCCGGCCGUCAGCGCCAUGACGAAGUGGGCGGAGCAGUGCAGGGCCGAGGUGGGCGUGGCCAGCUGGAUGGCCGGGAGGAGCCGCCGCCCACAAGAAGAGAAGACCGACAACAUCCUGUCCUGGCAGGCCACGGCGAGGACGUCGCUGGAGGGAAACACCGAUGCGUUCAAGUGUCCAUCCCUUUAACGUUGUGGGUGGAGCUACACGAGUAGCCUGUUCGGCCCUCAGACCCCUCCCCCUCCUCGAGGGUCUCGUACCUGCUCCCUGCUGCCGUGACCACUGAGCUGGGCAGCAGCGUGUUCCACUCCCGUCCGUCCCUGGAGCAGCGCAGCUGGCUGAGCUUGGACCCGGCGACCAGCGACACCUCGUUCUCCACCUCCAGGAACACCGGCGGCUCGGCGCUCACCUGCAGACGCCACACACCUCAGUCAAUGGGGGGCCGGGGGGCACAGACCCGUGUGGGAAAUGGAAAGUCUUUGUUGAGCUUGUUCUUCCUGUGAGCAUGGGGUCGUGGCCGGGCCUCAGCCCCAGGGAGGAGGAGGGGCCCGGGGAGGAGUCGGAGCUGAGCUGGGAGGUGAGCUGGUUGGACAUGGAGGAGCCCGAGGGCAGGAUGGGGGCGCUGUUGAAGAGCGCCGGGGAGAAGUCGCUGCAGAGAGAAGAAGAAGACGAUGAAGAUGAAGAUGAAGGGACGGUUAGCUGGUGUUAUUUUUCUUGGGUCUGAGCCCGCCGGGCCGCCAUAGUGUCUCCUGUGUCCUCCUACCCCGUGUCCAGCUGAGCGAUGCAGAGCGGCGUGAUCCGCCUCCGGCCGUCGGGGGUCCUCGUC
ensembl:lncRNA